rnacentral:rRNA from 1 species
GAAGCGGCAAUAGCUCAAAUUUGAAAUCUGACCCCUUUGGGGCCCGAGUUGUAAUUUGCAGAGGGUGUUUCGGGCGCGGCGCCGGUUUAAGUCCUUUGGAACAGGGUGUCAUAGAGGGUGAGAACCCCGUAUGUGACCGGCCGUUAAGCCUCUGUGAAACCCCUUCGACGAGUCGAGUUGUUUGGGAAUGCAGCUCAAAAUGGGUGGUAAAUUUCAUCUAAAGCUAAAUAUUGGCCAGAGACCGAUAGCGCACAAGUAGAGUGAUCGAAAGAUGAAAAGCACUUUGGAAAGAGAGUCAAACAGCACGUGAAAUUGUUGAAAGGGAAGCGCUUGCGACCAGACCUGCUCGCGGGUGAUCAGCGGUGCUUUUCGCGCCGUGCACUCGCCCGCGAUCAGGCCAGCAUCGGUUCGGGCGGCCGGAUAAAGACUCGGAGAAUGUAGCUCCCUCCGGGGAGUGUUAUAGCUUCUUGUGCAAUACGGCCAGCCCGGACCGAGGACCGCGCU